rnacentral:rRNA from 1 species
GACGUAGGAUGCGAGCGUUGUUCGGAUUUAUUGGGCGUAAAGCGUACGUAGGCGGCUUUUUAAGUCUGGUGUUAAAGCUAGGGGCUCAACCCCUGUGUUGCACUGGAAACUGGGAAGCUUGAGUGUGGUAGGGGAAGGUGGAAUUCCGAGUGUAGCGGUGAAAUGCGUAGAUAUUCGGAAGAACACCGGUGGCGAAAGCGACCUUCUGGGCCAUUACUGACGCUGAGGUACGAAAGCUUGGGGAGCGAACGGG